UACGGGGGGGGCAAGCGUUGUUCGGAAUUACUGGGCGUAAAGGGCUCGUAGGUGGCCAACUAAGUCAGACGUGAAAUCCCUCGGCUUAACCGGGGAACUGCGUCUGAUACUGGAUGGCUUGAGUUUGGGAGAGGGAUGCGGAAUUCCAGGUGUAGCGGUGAAAUGCGUAGAUAUCAGGAGGAACACCGGUGGCGAAGGCGGGUCUCUGGGCCGAUACUGACGCUGAGGAGCGAAAGCGUGGGGAGCAAACAGG
rnacentral:rRNA from 1 species